GGAAAUCUCAUCAGGCUUAAUUUGACUCAACGCGGGAAAUCUCACCAGGUUCAGAAAGAUUGGACAGAUUUGGUGGUACAUGGCCGUUAUUAGUUGGUGGAGCGAUUUGACUAGUUAAUGCAGGUAACAAAGAGAUUCUGUCAUGCUGAAUAGUUUCAGCUUUUCUUUUGAACCAAAAAUUCUUUUUAGAGGGACUGGCAACUCUUAGUCACACGAGAUUGUGUAAUAA
rnacentral:rRNA from 1 species